CGGCACUUACAUUUGCAAAAACACUGUAAUUGAUUUACAAAGCAACAUGAAGUAAGUUACAUUACAUGCUGGUUAGAAUGUGUAGCAUUGUGAAUGUGAAUUAAUAUUGAUGUUUUAAAGUUUGGCUCAAAUCUGGCACAGUAAUCAGAACUUGUUGACAAAAAUCUCUAAAAUAGGCUAAAAUGAGUGUAUUGUAUUGACUAACUGUAGACAACAUUUUCGUCAAAAGUCAUAGACAAGAAACUCUUUACAAAUGGCCACAUCCCAGUCCUGCUUGUCUAAGAUUUGGCUGUCAUUGCAGGUGGGGAAUCGGUGCAGAGCCGUACAAGUGUACUUCAGGUCACAUUUACACUUAUUCAACGUCCACACAGCAGGAUAUGGCAGAACCUUAAGUGGGGCACUUACCCCUACUUGCCUCAGUAAAUAUGCAGCUGUAUAAACUGUUUAAAUUAAUGAUAUGUAACUGGAAAAAGAAGAGCUUUGCACUUUCUGGUAACAUAAACGCUAUUAGGCUGCCAUCAGCGGAGGAGUCUGAAAUGCUUGUGCUAUGAAAUGGGCAGUUUGCUCUGUGCCCUCGAGCCGAAAGUGUAUAUAUCAUGGGCAGAUGAUAACAUUCAAACAUCUGACACACUAUUAAGCUGAUUCUCAGCCAUUUCUAAGUAAUACCUCUUUUGUUACCUAAAGACUUCACGAAUAUUUUAUCUCGCUACAUUUCCUUGAGCCCGGUUGGCUGCAGUUUUCUCACAUUUAUAAAAUGUCCCAAAGUUUGGAUGUCUUUUUUAUGGCAUGGAGAGUUGCUAGUCAGGAGGAAUAUAGUACAUUUGCAAGUGUACAGGCUUAAUUAUAUUACUUCAAGAAGUAAUUAUACAACCUCAUCAAACCAUAACAGUGACCUGCUCCUUUAAAUGAAAUGAUGAAGAGGAAGGGACAUCACUGAGUCUACAGAGUAGAAUUUAAACUUCAUAUUAAUACUACCGGUUGUUUUAUGUAUUUAUGGAUUUUUUUCUCCCCCCUUUCUCCCUUUUUCCCCGCUUUCCAGUUAAUGCUUUACACUCCAGUCCAGUUGGUGGCAGUAAUACAUCAUAAGUUAGCUUGUCAACCACCAUUAAAUCGUACAAGAAGAAGAAGAAGAGUCUUCAGAGUAGCCAUUUUGAACAGGUGGCGAAGCAGGCUGAGGAGGUGA
ensembl:lncRNA